AUUGAACGCUGGCGGCAUGCCUUACACAUGCAAGUCGAACGGUAACAGGUCUUCGGAUGCUGACGAGUGGCGAACGGGUGAGUAAUACAUCGGAACGUGCCUAGUAGUGGGGGAUAACUACUCGAAAGAGUGGCUAAUACCGCAUGAGAUCUACGGAUGAAAGCAGGGGAUCGCAAGACCUUGUGCUACUAGAGCGGCCGAUGGCAGAUUAGGGAGGUGGUGGGAGAAAAGCUUACCAAGCCGACGAUCUGUAGCUGGUCUGAGAGGACGAUCAGCCACACUGGGACUGAGACACGGCCCAGACUCCUACGGGAGGCAGCGGUGGGGAAUUUUGGACAAUGGGCGCAAGCCUGAUCCAGCAAUGCCGCGUGCAGGAUGAAGGCCUUCGGGUUGUAAACUGCUUUUGUACGGAACGAAAAGCCCUGGGUUAAUACCCUGGGGUCAUGACGGUACCGUAAGAAUAAGCACCGGCUAACUACGUGCCAGCCGCCGCCGUAA
rnacentral:rRNA from 1 species